UACGGGGGGAGCAAGCGUUGUUCGGAUUUACUGGGCGUAAAGGGCGCGUAGGCGGUCAGCACAAGUCAGUUGUGAAAUCUCCGGGCUUAACUCGGAAAGGUCAACUGAUACUGUGCGACUAGAGUGCAGAAGGGGCAACUGGAAUUCUCGGUGUAGCGGUGAAAUGCGUAGAUAUCGAGAGGAACACCUGCGGCGAAGGCGGGUUGCUGGGCUGACACUGACGCUGAGGCACGAAAGCGUGGGGAGCAAACAGG
rnacentral:rRNA from 1 species